rnacentral:rRNA from 1 species
AAGUCGAGCGGAGAUGAGGUGCUUGCACCUUAUCUUAGCGGCGGACGGGUGAGUAAUGCUUAGGAAUCUGCCUAUUAGUGGGGGACAACAUUCCGAAAGGAAUGCUAAUACCGCAUACGUCCUACGGGAGAAAGCAGGGGAUCUUCGGACCUUGCGCUAAUAGAUGAGCCUAAGUCGGAUUAGCUAGUUGGUGGGGUAAAGGGCUACCAAGGCGACGAUCUGUAGCGGGUCUGAGAGGAUGAUCCGCCACACUGGGACUGAGACACGGCCCAGACUCCUACGGGAGGCAGCAGUGGGGAAUAUUGGACAAUGGGGGGAACCCUGAUCCAGCCAUGCCGCGUGUGUGAAGAAGGCCUUAUGGUUGUAAAGCACUUUAAGCGAGGAGGAGGCUACUGAGACUAAUACUCUUGGAUAGUGGACGUUACUCGCAGAAUAAGCACCGGCUAACUCUGUGCCAGCAGCCGCGGUAAUACAGAGGGUGCGAGCGUUAAUCGGAUUUACUGGGCGUAAAGCGUGCGUAGGCGGCUUUUUAAGUCGGAUGUGAAAUCCCCGAGCUUAACUUGGGAAUUGCAUUCGAUACUGGGAAGCUAGAGUAUGGGAGAGGAUGGUAGAAUUCCAGGUGUAGCGGUGAAAUGCGUAGAGAUCUGGAGGAAUACCGAUGGCGAAGGCAGCCAUCUGGCCUAAUACUGACGCUGAGGUA